rnacentral:rRNA from 11 species
UUUAGGGCUAGCGUCGACAUAAAGAUUCUUGGAGGUAGAGCACUGUUUGGGUGAGGGGUCCAUCCCGGAUUACCAAUCUCAGAUAAACUCCGAAUGCCAAUGAAUUAUGGUCGGCAGUCAGACUGCGAGUGCUAAGAUCCGUAGUCGAAAGGGAAACAGCCCAGACCACCAGCUAAGGUCCCAAAAUAAUUGUUAAGUGGAAAAGGAUGUGGGGUUGCACAGACAACUAGGAUGUUAGCUUAGAAGCAGCUAUUCAUUCAAAGAGUGCGUAAUAGCUCACUAGUCGAGUGACCCUGCGCCGAAAAUGUACCGGGGCUAAAACAAUUUACCGAAGCUGUGGAUACCUUUAUAGGUAUGGUAGGAGAGCGUUCUAUGUGUGAAGAAGGUGUACCGUGAGGAGCGCUGGAACGCAUAGAAGUGAGAAUGCCGGUAUGAGUAGCGAAAGAUAGGUGAGAAUCCUAUCCGCCGAAAGACUAAGGUUUCCUGGGGCAGGCUCGUCCGCCCAGGGUAAGUCGGGACCUAAGGCAAGGCCGAGAGGCGUAGUCGAUGGAUAACAGGU